rnacentral:rRNA from 1 species
UGGGAACGUGCCCUUCUCUGCGGAAUAGCCACUGGAAACGGUGAGUAAUACCGCAUACGCCCUUCGGGGGAAAGAUUUAUCGGAGAAGGAUCGGCCCGCGUUAGAUUAGAUAGUUGGUGGGGUAACGGCCUACCAAGUCUACGAUCUAUAGCUGGUUUUAGAGGAUGAUCAGCAACACUGGGAC